rnacentral:lncRNA from 1 species
GGGUUAAAUCCUCAGAGAAAUAGGAAAAGAAAAAUCAGAAAAGCAAAGGACUUGGCUGAAAAUGAGUUGGCAGCAACAUCUGCAAAGCAGACGGUGAAAAUUGCUUGCAAUGGUUAUUAAACUCAUGAAGACAACUAAGCCACACUCAAGGAUGCCUUACUGGAAUAAAGCCUCGAAAUUUACCCCCUUGCUAGAAAAUAAUUGGGGGAAAUAUCUUGUAUUGUUGGUCAUCUGUAGACUCU